ensembl:lncRNA
UUUCAUGCUGUAGGGUCUUCUACUUGCAAAAUGAUUUGUGCCAGUUAAGUACCUUUCCUAAGCAAACCAAUUGAAAGGCAUGAUCUCUGUACUGUGGAGAAAUGCCCUAUAACCCAGUUCCUGGGUUUAGUCGUGGGACUUACAUGUUGUUGGCUUGGUAUGAAACAACUGGAGUUCACAAUUAAGGGGUGUGCUGGGAUAGCUUCCAUUAGUAAUAGAAAGAGGUCUACAGAACAGAAAGAAAAAUGCAGCAACACUUUGUGAAAGAUGACUCAGGAGACACCUCAUUCAUAACAUGAAUGCUUCUGAUGGUAUUAAUAGUACUUCCUUUAAAGCUAUCCCACAAAAAUCCCUUCUAUCAUCCCUAAUGCUCUUAAUGCCAAUUGAGAAAAAACUUGUGCAUUUUUUUCUCCGAAUACACUCUCAUUAUCCAUCUCGAAGAGGAAGGAAUAUCCUGUCCAAGCUACAGUGUGCAUCAAAAAAAUUGAUCCCUUCUAAUCCACUGUCUACAUUACAGAUGGAACCCAUUACCACCCACUUCCUCAGUUAGGAAAUGGUCCCUCUGUACACUUUGUACUGCUCCUCAGAUGGUUGAGUGCAUUUAUCCAAACAGCUAGCAGUGAAUUCUGACUGCUGCAAGCAAGUCAAAUGUAAGCCAGCUAUGGAGCAGAUGUCUUAUGGAUAAAGCCAUGGAUAGCCAAUGAAAAACACCUGACCACAGCACUAAACUACACAGCACAGCUCCCCUGCUCCAGACCUGAACCAGUUCAUACACCCUGUGGAUAGGGAAUCCCACAUCAGUCUGAAAACUGGAUAGAUGUGCCCCUUUAUAUAUAUAUAUUUAUUUUUUUUUGUGAGCAUAGACUUGCUGAAUAAUUUGGUGCCCUGUUACUUAAAUGUAGACAGUUCAUUUCUUCCUAUACAGUUUAUUUUCUUUCAACACUGUAUUAGCUAGCCCCAGCCUAAUGUUAGCCUCCAAAAAACUACAUCAGGCCUGUGGUUUUUACAUAAAAGGUUUUGCUGCCUUAUCUUCUGUAAGCAUAGUGAAGAAAGAGAAGCACCUGGACAGACAGUUUAUCUGGUUUGAGGAACGUGUAAAAUAGAGAGAGAAUCUUCUUUUCCUAUCAAUUAUUCAGCAAUCUCCAGAUGCUCAGGUAAUUGCUGUAGAACCCUACAAGCUGUACAGGAAACAUACAAAACCAGCAAACUCUCUGACUGUAUACAAUUUCAGCCUGGAGAUACCAUUGGACUGAAGAACACCUCUAAUCCAUCCUCACUGAACUGGAGGCAGACAGUAGGACACAGGCAGUUAUUUAGGGCACCCAAAGUCAUCACAGACAGCUUCAUCUUCAUGCAGUGGGAAGGAAGAGAAAAGGAUUUAUGAGAAGGUGUAAUGUGAUAAGCACAUUUCCUUGCACACAUUGUUUAUUUUGCACAGAUCCUCUUUGUAGCUCUGCAGGCUCUUUCCUCUAAAGCCACUGCCUGAGUGGGCACCUGUGCUGACCUCCCCUUGUGCUGGACACUGCAGACAUGUACGUCAGACACAGACA